rnacentral:rRNA from 1 species
GUGGGGGGUGCUUACACAUGCAAGUCGAACGAUGAAGCCUUUCGGGGUGGAUUAGUGGCGAACGGGUGAGUAACACGUGGGCAAUCUGCCCUUCACUCUGGGACAAGCCCUGGAAACGGGGUCUAAUACCGGAUAACACUCUGUCCUGCAUGGGACGGGGUUAAAAGCUCCGGCGGUGAAGGAUGAGCCCGCGGCCUAUCAGCUUGUUGGUGGGGUAAUGGCCUACCAAGGCGACGACGGGUAGCCGGCCUGAGAGGGCGACCGGCCACACUGGGACUGAGACACGGCCCAAACUCCUACGGGAGGCAGCAGUGGGGAAUAUUGCACAAUGGGCGAAAGCCUGAUGCACCGACCCCGCGUGAGGGAUGACGGCCUUCGGGUUGUAAACCUCUUUCAGCAGGGAAAAAGCGAAAGUGACGGUACCUGCAGAAAAAGCGCCGGCUAACUACGUGCCAGCAGCCGCGGUAAUACGUAGGGCGCAAGCGUUGUCCGGAAUUAUUGGGCGUAAAGAGCUCGUAGGCGGCUUGUCACGUCGGAUGUGAAAGCCCGGGGCUUAACCCCGGGUCUGCAUUCGAUACGGGCUACCUAGAGUGUGGUAGGGGAGAUCGGAAUUCCUGGUGUAGCGGUGAAAUGCGCAGAUAUCAGGAGGAACACCGGUGGCGAAGGCGGAUCUCUGGGCCAUUACUGACGCUGAGGAGCGAAAGCGUGGGGAGCGAACAGGAUUAGAUACCCUGGUAGUCCACGCCGUAAACGUUGGGAACUAGGUGUUGGCGACAUUCCACGUCGUCGGUGCCGCAGCUAACGCAUUAAGUUCCCCGCCUGGGGAGUACGGCCGCAAGGCUAAAACUCAAAGGAAUUGACGGGGGCCCGCACAAGCAGCGGAGCAUGUGGCUUAUUUCGACGCAACGCGAAGAACCUUACCAAGGCUGACAUAUACCGGAAAGCAUCAGAGAUGGUGCCCCCUUGUGGUCGGUAUACAAGGUGGUGCAUGGCUGUCGUCAGCCUCGUGUCUGAGAUGUGGGUUAGUCCCGCAACGAGGCGCAACCCUUUGUUCUUGUGUUGCCAGCAUGCCCUUCGGGGUGAUGGGGACUCACAGGAAACUGCCCGGGUCCACCUCGGGAGAA